rnacentral:rRNA from 1 species
AGAGUUUGAUCCUGGCUCAGGAUGAACGCUAGCUACAGGCUUAACACAUGCAAGUCGAGGGGAAACGAUAGAGAAAGCUUGCUUUUUCUAGGCGUCGACCGGCGCACGGGUGAGUAACGCGUAUCCAACCUGCCCACCACUUGGGGAUAACCUUGCGAAAGUAAGACUAAUACCCAAUGACGUCUCUAGAAGACAUCUGAAAGGGAUUAAAGAUUUAUCGGUGAUGGAUGGGGAUGCGUCUGAUUAACUUGUUGGCGGGGUAACGGCCCACCAAGGCUACGAUCAGUAGGGGUUCUGAGAGGAAGGUCCCCCACAUUGGAACUGAGACACGGUCCAAACUCCUACGGGAGGCAGCAGUGAGGAAUAUUGGUCAAUGGGCGAGAGCCUGAACCAGCCAAGUAGCGUGCAGGAUGACGGCCCUAUGGGUUGUAAACUGCUUUUAUAAGGGAAUAAAGUGAGCCUCGUGAGGCUUUUUGCAUGUACCUUAUGAAUAAGGACCGGCUAAUUCCGUGCCAGCAGCCGCGGUAAUACGGAAGGUCCGGGCGUUAUCCGGAUUUAUUGGGUUUAAAGGGAGCGUAGGCCGGAGAUUAAGCGUGUUGUGAAAUGUAGGUGCUCAACAUCUGCACUGCAGCGCGAACUGGUUUCCUUGAGUACGCACAAAGUGGGCGGAAUUCGUGGUGUAGCGGUGAAAUGCUUAGAUAUCACGAAGAACUCCGAUUGCGAAGGCAGCUCACUGGAGCGCAACUGACGCUGAAGCUCGAAAGUGCGGGUAUCGAACAGGAUUAGAUACCCUGGUAGUCCGCACGGUAAACGAUGGAUGCCCGCUGUUGGUCUGAAUAGGUCAGCGGCCAAGCGAAAGCAUUAAGCA